GAUGAACGCUGGCGGCGUGCCUAAUACAUGCAAGUCGAGCGAACAGACGAGGAGCUUGCUCCUCUGACGUUAGCGGCGGACGGGUGAGUAACACGUGGAUAACCUACCUAUAAGACUGGGAUAACUUCGGGAAACCGGAGCUAAUACCGGAUAACAUGUUGAACCGCAUGGUUCAACAGUGAAAGACGGUCUUGCUGUCACUUAUAGAUGGAUCCGCGCCGCAUUAGCUAGUUGGUAAGGUAACGGCUUACCAAGGCAACGAUGCGUAGCCGACCUGAGAGGGUGAUCGGCCACACUGGAACUGAGACACGGCCCAGACUCCUACGGGAGGCAGCAGUAGGGAAUCUUCCGCAAAGGGCGAAAGCCUGACGGAGCAACGCCGCGUGAGUGAAGAAGGUCUUCGGAUCGUAAAACUCUGUUAUUAGGGAAGAACAAAUGUGUAAGUGACUAUGCACGUCUUGACGGUACCUAAUCAGAAAGCCACGGCUAACUACGUG
rnacentral:rRNA from 1 species